CUUUGAAAUAACGGACGGCAAGGACAUUUUUUUUACAUAGAUGUGAUGAAGCUUUAUGCGAUGUUAGGGAGGAUGCAUCCAAAUGGUUUCAGCCGUGGGGUGAAGUAUUGUCAUUUAAGAAGGGGAAGAAUAAAAUGAAAGAUCUAGAUAAGGAGUUUGCUAAAAGUGAUAGCCUGAUAAGCGUAGAUAGUGAAGAUGACGGUGAAAGGUCACCAAGUCGUGUUAAGAGGAGGUAUCCAAAGUCGAAGGAAUUGAGUGACUUCAAAGAGAAAGUUGAGUUAAUAGUGGGGUUGAAGCCCCCCCCACCCCCAGUUUAAGGAUGCACUUAAACUGGACACCUAUUUACAAGAUGAGAAAAAGCUGGUAUCCGCAUUUUCUAAGAAAAAAUGUGGUUAGAGAAUACAUGCAUCCUGGACGAAUGACAAAAAUUAUUUUUCUGAACAAGACUUUCAUUGAAGAGCAUAAUUGUGGUAGUCAUUAUUACAACAAGAGGGCAACAAUCAAGUGUGCUGCACACCUAUGCUUGGACAGCUUUUGGGACAAACCAGAUUAGAAAGCUAGUGCAUUGAAGGAAAUAAUCAAAAGAGAUUUUAAUGUUGAGCUAACUUUGCUGAGUUGCCACCGUGCCAAAAGAAUGGCAUUGGAUAUAUUGUUUCAGAGACAAGGUGAACAUUAAAAACACACAAAGGAGUACACCAAUGCAAUAUUGAAAUGGAAUCCCGGUGGCUCAGCUUAUGUACAAAGAGAUAAAAGAUUCUUCCAACCAAUUUACGUUUCGCUGACAGCUUGUAAGCGAGGCUUUUUGGAUGGAUGUAGGCCCACGAUUUGUGUGGAUACUUGUUUUUUGAAGGGCCACUUUGGUGGGCAGCUGCAUGCAGGCAUUGCUCAGGAUGUGAAUGACGACAUCUUCCUGAUAACAUAUGCUAUAUGCGACAUUGAAUCUAGAGACACAUGGACAUGGUUUUGAGUAUAUUUGUUGGAGAAUAUUGGGUAUCCACGAGAGAAAAUGUGGUCAUUCAUGUAUGACAGACAAAAAGUAUAAAUUAAUGCAAUUGUAUGAUCAUUUAAAUAUUGGCAACACUAUUUUAACAUAACUUUUUGGCUAAACAGGGUUUGCUUAAUGUCUUGGAGGAUUUGAUGCCUGGUUUAGAGCACAAAUUUUGUGUCAAACAUUUACACGCAAACUUCAAGAGUAAAGAAUACAAGGGCAAGGCCUUCAAAGAUAAUUUGUGGGGUGAAGCGCGGGCAGUUAAUGAAUUAUAAUUCAAGCACUACCUGUCUGUGAUUAGAGGUAUGGAUGAAGAUGCAUUCAAGUACAUUGAGAAAGUAGACCCAAGGAUGUGGUCAAGGCAUGCUUUUAGAGCGAGUAGUUGCAGUUACAUAUUGUUAAAAAAUACUACUGAGUGUUUCAAUGAGUGGAUCUUGGAAGCAAGAGAAAAGCCUAUUCUGACUUACAUGAAGAUGAUAAGGCGGCAAUUGAUGUAUAGCUUCAAUCAAAAAAGUUCUGGAACAACAACUUCAACUAGUGUAAUUCGUCCAGAUUGUGAAAAAAAUUAGAUAGAAGCAAGACAGAUGCUAGGAACUACAUUUCUCAAUGGAGUAAUAAUUUGUAGUUUGAAAUUUAUAUAGUCAUAAACCUAGGAGGGUUGUAGAUCUGGGAACAAAAACAUGUGGAUGUGGUAAGUGGCAACUAAAUGGUAUUUCAUGCCCUUAUGCAUGUUGUGCUAUAUAUGCAAAUAGGCAAAUCCCUAAGAGUUAUAUUAGUAAGUGGUACUUAAUGGAUACAUAUACGACAUCAUAUGCCCAAGAUAUUAAUCCGAUGCCUAGACCUAAUGUGCGGCCUGUUAAGCAUGAUGUGGAGCCUAUACUGACUCUUAUGCCUAAGAAACAACAUGGUAGGCCAAAAAAUGUGAGAAGAAGAGGACUUAAUGAAAGUGUUAAGUUCACUUGUAAAGAGUAUGAUGUAAGUUGUGAAAAAUGUGGUCAAAAGGACCACAAUGCUAUGAGUUACCGCCUACCAGACAAUUUGAAUAUGAAGAAGCGGGCCAAAGGGGUUAGGAAGCCAAAUUCAAACAAUGAAAAUGCAGGAAGAUCCUUACAGACAAUGCAACUCACUACCACAGUCAAAAACACACACAAUUGGGCAACAAUUAGGGUGUGUGCCUCACACAGACAUCAUUAAGCUUAUUGAACAUCCCACAAACUUCAAGACAACUGAGUUGACAAAGAUAAAGGCGAAAGACUAUAAAUUGCACUAGGCAACAAUUAGGGUUUGGAGGAUCACGACCAAUGGGGCAAAUUCAAACAGGAUCACAGCCAGUCCAGUCUAAUGCAACUCAUUAGGGAUAUGACAAAGCUUUAACAAAUUGAACUAGCUCUUAACUUUUGUAAUGUAUUUGAGACAUUAACUUUUGAGUCAUUAUUGAUUAGAUGUAAGGGUUAACUUCCCUAGCCUGUUGAAGUAGUGUUGAAGUUUUUUGUUUUUGAAAAGUUAAGAUAGAUGUAAGUGUUGCAAUGGAUACCUGAACCUAAAUUGAAUGGAUUAGUGUUGUCAAUAUUUUAUUUGUC